GUUGACCUCGGAUCAGGUAGGGAUACCGG
rnacentral:rRNA from 1 species